rnacentral:rRNA from 1 species
UGGGGGAUAUUGCACAAUGGGCGAAAGCCUGAUGCAGCGACGCCGCGUGGGGGAUGAAGGCCUUCGGGUUGUAAACUUCUUUUGCUCUGAACAAGGCAUGCCUUUGGGGUGUGUUGAGUGUAGGGGUUGAUUAGCGCCGGCUAACUACGUGCCAGCAGCCGCGGUAAUACGUAGGGCGCGAGCGUUGUCCGGAAUUAUUGGGCGUAAAGGGCUUGUAGGUGGCUGGUUGCGUCUGUCGUGAAAGCUCAUGGCUUAACUGUGGGUUUGCGGUGGGUACGGGCUGGCUUGAGUGCAGUAGGGGAGGCUGGAAUUCCUGGUGUAGCGGUGAAAUGCGCAGAUAUCAGGAAGAAUACCGGUGGCGAAGGCGGCUCUCUGGGCUGUUACUGACGCUGAGGAGCGAAAGCGUGGGGAGCGAACAGG